rnacentral:rRNA from 1 species
UACGGAGGGUGCAAGCGUUGCUCGGAAUUACUGGGCGUAAAGCGACCGCAGGCGGUUUAUCAGGUCCGAUGUGAAAGCCCAGGGCUCAACCCUGGAACUGCAUCGGAAACCGGUAGACUUGAGUACGGGAGAGGAGGGCGGAAUUCCUGGUGUAGGGGUGAAAUCCGUAGAUAUCAGGAGGAACGCUCGCGGCGAAGGCGGCUCUCUGGCCCGAUACUGACGCUCAUGGUCGAAAGCAUGGGUAGCAAACAGG